ACUCUACUGUACUCAAGCUCCACACAUUUGACAUACAGGCUCAGAACUGAGCAUUUGUUUAUUGUAAAUAAUGAUUUGCACGAACCCUAAAGCACCAUUUUAGUCAGCUUUUAUUUGAGUAAUAUUUUAACAUUUUUUAAAAUAUGCAUCCUGGCAUUUGUCUGUCUAGUACAGGUGGUGCCCUAUCCCACCCUGUGGUGUCCACUGUGUCUAUAGCACAUGCUUGCAGGCUGGUCCUCCUGAAACCUUUUCCAGAGCAUCCUUAGUUUUCAAGUAGUCCAAAAGUCAUAACUCUCCACAACAGCUUCUUAUUGGCAUGACUCUCAUCACACCAACUGCAAAAUCAAACCAAAUAAUGCCUUAUAAACCAUGCAGCUCAGAGGGAGCAGAGUGUCCCCAGGUCCUGGUGUGGCCACACAGCUUCCAGGGAGCGAGAUGCCAUGUCUCGCUCCCUUUUUAGCAGUACAGGGAUGCCAUUUUGCUGCCUAAUGUAUAUAUCCCAAUGCAAAGGCUAGAGUGGGUGUGGCCCCUCCCAUGCCUUCCGCAGGGCCCCUUUUGUAACUCAAUCCUUUUACGAGUAGCCAAUGCUCUUACUGUUUACAGCAUCCCUAGUGCCCAGUCUCCACUUCCUUCUGCCCCUCCAUGUUCCCAGCGCCAUGCUGGUAGCCAGGGUAAAGUCAGCUUUAUGAGAUUUUUAUAUCCUCCCACCCCUGCAGACCACAAAUGUAUAUAGCUCAUGAUUGUGAUAAGUUUAUUUUUUACCUCAGUAGUCUCCCUCUCCAAACUCUACUCGGAGUGUAAGAUUUAUGUGGAAAAUACAACAUAUAUUUAAAAAAGAAGAAGAUGAAGAAGAGGAAGCUGAAGAAAGAGACCCACUGGUAACAUGCCUGCCCGACAAGCCUAAGCAGGAAAAGCUGGGUGCCGUACACAUUUGGUAUCCCAUUGCCGGGGAGGCAGAGGCAGGCAGAUCCCUGCGACUCCCUGGCCAGCCAAGCUAAUCGGGGAAUCCCAGGUUCCAGAAAGUGACAUUGUCUCAAAACAUACGGUGGCAACUCCUGAGGCCACAACACCCAAAGUUGACCUCUUACAGGCUCACACAUUACAUGUGUGCACACAUCCCACACAGGAACAUGUACAGCCAUGUACAAACGCAUACAAAAGAGCAAAGCAGCUCUUCGAGUAUAUCUCAAAUAUCUGGUCCCGUUGGUAGGAAUGCCAUCAGCCCAAAGGUCCUUCCCACUGAGCUGAAGAACACAGACAACUCUCUUGCCUGGUGGUGUGUGUCUGGGGUGCUCCUCAGAUGAAUGCAGCCAAGUCAGCUGCCCUGAAUAGACAGAGGGCCACUCCAGGCCGGGGCAGCAAUCUGCACCCUUCUUUGAUUCUCCAGGGAGUGAAGUAUGCUUUUGCUUCUUGUCAGGCCCCAAAUGCUCCCAUCCACCAGAGAGGGGAGGCUGUAGCAGAGGAGGGGAAAGAGGUAGGAAGCCGUCUGAGCCCUCACUGUGCUCAGAAUAGCUGUAGACAAAGGAGAAGGGCACUGAGCUAUGAUGAGCUUUGGAGCAUCUCACUCAGGCACUCACCCCACAAGAACAUUAGCCCAGCCCAGGCCAUCCAGGGUCAAAGGAUAAGGAGAGUGUCUGCAGACACCUAACUGUCAUAUGGAGCAAAUGUCCUACAUGCUUCCAGAUAGGUGAAACUGAGCCAGGGCCAAGUUUCCAACAUCUCUGGGGUAAGGACUCAAGCCACUGUAACAGCCACAUGAACAGAGGUGAAGGUUCCAUUCAACGCUGACUUUGUUGCGUUGGUUCUGGAAGUGUGCAGAAAGGUCAGGAUCCAGUCUACUCUUCUCCCAGCCACGCAAAGUAAUAAUCAUUAAAAAGCUUUCAUAACUACGACAAGGGCCAUCUGGAAGGCAGCCCUGCCUUUGAAGUAGUCUGUUUGCCCAGUACACUGAAGGACACCAUGUUCUACACUGCUGGCACAAGAAUUUAAACUAUUCACGAGUGGGGAGAUGUCUCUGUCAGGAGACGUCCUGCUGCCCAAGCAUGAGGGCCUGAGCUCAUAUCCCCAGCACCCACGUAAAAGCCAGGCAUAGGGGUGCAUGUCUGUAAUCCUUGGUAGAGGAGUGGGUAAAGUUGGGUAGAGGCAGCUGAUCCUGGGAAGGUCAGUGCCCAGCCAACCUCACAAAAUGAGCGAUCUGCAAGCUGCAGGGUUAGUGAGAAACUGAUAGUAGAGAUAGACCAAAAAAGAUUCCUGUGAAUGGCCUUUGGGCCUCCACAUGCAUGUGCACACAUGUGCCCUUGUUCAUGCACACACACGCACACACCACACACACACAAACACGACACAUAAAUAUUUUUUACAAAGUUAUUUAAGGUCAGAAGGAAGGAACAUGCAGAAACCAAAAAUAGCAAGCGAGGAACGGUCUCAGGGAUCUGGCCUAGCAGCUCAAGGCCUGUCAUGGAGCCUACCCCUCCAAGUCCAAGUGGGUACCUUCAGUACCCACCAGCAGCGCAUGGGUUAGGCCCCUGGCCAUGAACUCACAUGUGGAGAGGUCCCCUGCUAGCCUUGCUUACCCUCACAUUGCAGACUGUGACUCCCCCGAUGUCUCACCCAAUGUUCUUUAUAUUUUAUUGAAGUUCCCUGCUGUGGAUUUAUUCCUUUGUACCUAAUAAACUUUAAUAAG
rnacentral:lncRNA from 1 species